CCUACGGGCGGCAGCAGUGGGGAAUAUUGGACAAUGGGGGCAACCCUGAUCCAGCCAUGCCGCGUGUGUGAAGAAGGCCCUCGGGUUGUAAAGCACUUUCAGUGAGGAAGAACGCCUGGUGGUUAAUACCCAUCAGGAAAGACAUCACUCUCAGAAGAAGCACCGUCUAACUCCGUGCCAGCAGCCGCGGUAAUACGGAGGGUGCGAGCGUUAAUCGGAAUUACUGGGCGUAAAGCGCGCGUAGGUGGCUUGAUAAGCCGGUUGUGAAAGCCCCGGGCUCAACCUGGGAACGGCAUCCGGAACUGCCAAGCUAGAGUGCAGGAGAGGAAGGUAGAAUUCCCGGUGUAGCGGUGAAAUGCGUAGAGAUCGGGAGGAAUACCAGUGGCGAAGGCGGCCUUCUGGACUGAUACUGACACUGAGGUGCGAAAGCGUGGGUAGCAAACAGGAUUAGAUACCCGAGUAGUC
rnacentral:rRNA from 1 species